GAUUCUGCCCUACGGGGAAGGAUGAGAAGCUUCGACCAAGGUUCGACUCGAGCGUAGCGAGAGAACGUUGCCGCAGGCAACGGCCCGAAGGGCGAGGAGCGAUAGCGACGAGUUAUCCUUCCCCCACCACCA
rnacentral:sRNA from 2 species